rnacentral:lncRNA from 1 species
GUCCUUCAAAGCGAAGCACUUUCCGAGCCAGGACUUAACCCCCUGCAGAGUCGGGAUGUCGUUUCCUAUGAGCAAUAUGUUAUCGACAUAUAGAAUGAGGAAGCUUACCAUACUCCCACUGGCUUUGACAUAUACACACGAUUCAUCUUCGCUUCGUACAAAUCCAAACUCUUUGACUUUCUCAUCGAAUGUCACAACUAGAAAUUUUUGUGCCUUGUAAACUACAACAACUAAGUCAAAUUGUGAAUCAAAGACAUGAGAACAUGUAUGAUGCAUACUCUAUAACAACAGAGUUUCAAUCAAACACCUCAUACAAGCAUUCAAUGUAGUCAUUAAGCAAUUGGGAACCCUAGAAGUACUUGUUUAAGUCCUUUAUGGACUAGGACUUCCUUAUUGGGCCCAAUGGACCAAUAAGCUUCCAAUUUGACUACCUUGGGCUUAGAACUCUUAAAUGGUCUCUAAUUGGACCCACUCUAAUUCAUUUUAACACUUUGGGCCAUAUUGGGCCUAGAAUGAAAUAAAACACCUUAAUGGACCUCAUUGGGCCACAACUAACCUAAUUAGCCCUAAUGGGCCAUAAGAACCAUAUUUAUAAUUAUUUGGGCUGUGAAUUACUCUAAAAGGGCCAAUGGGGCGAAAACCAUUAACUUGGACUCCAUAUUAUGGACUUAAACAUAGAAGGCCCAAAUCUCCAUCUCUCUUCUCUAUCUCUCGGCCCAAACUACAAACCCAAGAGGAAAGGGGUUGACUUUGCUUGCCACCUCACUUUUAUAUGGAGGAUAUCUAAGCUUUUGCACUUCAAACAUCCAUGCAAUAUCAUCUUCCCAUGCAAGCACUUCUCUUCUUCUCCCUCUCUCUCUUGCUCUCGGCCGAUUCCAAGUACACACACACACACACACCCACCUUUCACUUACUAUUCUCUCAAGAUACUCUCUCAUUUCUCCUCCAUAUUUUCGAGAUCUAAGGAGCUUUCAAGAAAAUAUCUCCACAAAUUCUUCACCUAAGGUAAGAUCAAGUUUGGAUCUAUGAUAUAAGCUCUUUGUUUUAUCAAAAUCUCCUUCUAAUCCAUGUAAAAAUCAUGAUCACACUCUUAGAAACCCUCUAAGUUCGAGAUCUUCCAAGGAGGGGUACUAAGGCCGAAUUUUCUUCUCAAUUUCUUCCAAAAACCGAAACCACACCCAAAGGUGAGCUUCAUACCCCCUCUUUUUUGGUUUUUAUAAGUUUUGUGGGGGGAGAAUAUAAGCAAAUGUGUAGAUCUAUGAGUAUAUGUAUGCUUUGUGUGAUUUCUAUGCUUAUAUGUACGAUCUUAUGUGAUUGUGGUGUUUGUACUAGUCAAAAAGAACUUGAAAACCGAGAUCUACAAUAUGAUGAAUGGAAUAAGUAUAACUUAUAUCAUUUCAAACUAAUCAAGUCUAGAAAAAUAACCAAGUUGGUUAAUAUGAACAUUUUUGGACUUAAAACCCAUUUUUGGGCUCAAAAUGCUAAAAACACAAAACUAAAGGGUCCAAAACGAACAAAUCUAAAUUCUGAAGGUUGAGAUGAGUCAAAAUAGUUUCUAAUAUGUAUUUUCUAAAAAUUUACACGUUUGAAGGGUUAAAAUGUGAAUUUUUAAACAUAAUGGGCCAAAAAUGGACUUUUCGGCCCAAUAAAGCCCCAAAUUGCGAGAUUUUUGAUUUGGAGGGGCUGAAACUGCACAUUUCUAUAAAACAGGGGAUUACUAGUGUACCAAGUCCAUUUCAAGGGUCAAAAAUGCUUUUCAAAUUAAAAAGGGACCAAAGAUGCAAAAAUUUUCUAUUUUGGGCCAAAAUUGUAAAAGUUGCGAAAAUGGGGGUUUCAGCCGAGAAAAUUUCAUUUUUGAGGGACUUAAGCUGUUUAUCAAGUAAAACUGGGCUAAAAAUGUCCUUUUCAACAUGUUUUAGUUCUAUAGUGUCAAGAAAAAUGGUUCAAGGACUAAAAAUGGAAAUUCUUUCAUAUAAAGGGCUAAAAGCAUAAACUUUAUCCAAGGAGGCGCUUCAAAAAGAAAAACUCUAAUUUUUUUUACAAUAAGUAUCUUAAGGUAAAAUUUCGAGUAUCACGACUAUCAGCAAAACGUAUUAGCGAAUACACCCUCAACACCCAAAAAUCAUUAUCAAACAAAUUGAUUCGGUCUCGAAUCAAUAACAAAUCACGAAUCAAUAAACAAAGAUACUUCAAUACACACGCGGAAACUUUACGGGAAGUCAAUACACCAUCUUUGGGCUCAAAAGUUUCAAAUCAUGCUUGUUGGGCAUAACUAGCCCUAUGACAUGAUUUUUAGGCCUGAAGGGAACGCGCUUACAUGUUAUUGGGCCUUAUAUGACCUAGUUUUGUGUAAAAGGACUUUCAAUAACUUUAUUGUGCUGUUGGGACCCAAGGGUCCUUUGGUACUGCUAGUAAAGUCAAGAGGUCAAAUGCGUGUCGGGCCAAGGGCCUUUCGCAUUCACGAUAGCCUUGAACGACUCAUGGAAAUAACGGGGACUUCGUACCCUCUUUUCUCCUCGGUUGUGGGGCUAUGAGAAGUCAGGGUGGUUGGAUUAAGUGAGUAGUAUGGACGACGCCUAAGGGAUCGUUUGUAUAGUUGUAAACUAGUCAUUUAUAUUAAUGCGUGAUUAUAACGACUCAUGACCCAUAAUUAAUCCAAUGUCACCUGGAAUUAUCAAAAAACAACUUCGUAUCGGAAUAAUACUAACUCAGCCUCGUAAUUUAAUGUAUUGGGAAAACAUCGGGUUUUCCUGGGAAAUUUCAAUGCUCUUAACUAUGCGAUAUAUACAAAGUUUAACAAUUACUCACAUUCAUAAUAAUCAACAAGCAUACUUACGGAUCUUCACGCUUUUUCUUACUUACAAUAAUCUUUUCAGAAAAUAUCGGAUUUUCUGGUGGUUUUCAAAAUAAUACAAAUCAUUAUUUUUCAAACAUUACUUAUGAACUCACCAACAUUUCAUAUGUUGACGUUUUUCCAAAAUACUUGUAUUCUCAAGUAACUGGUAAAUCGAAGAAAAUGUAUCCAGUGAUAUCAUGAUGUUUUGUUUAAUUAAUAUCGAACGGAGCAUGUUUUGGAAUUGUAAUGUGCAAAAACAAUGUACUGAAUGUAAACACUGAUGGUUGUAAUAUUUCAAUGCAUGGUGAUGAAUGAUGUUAUGUUUCAUGUAUAUUCAUUGUGAUGGUAUUCAAUUGAGUCACAAUAGCCCUCGGACGUUUCCGCCGUCUGGUUCGGGGGUGUGACAGGUUGGUAUCAAAGCUCUGUUUAUAGUGAAGUAGCAUAUCUAGCCACACAUUGAUAUGCAACUAUAAACCAAAAGAGGGACUAACACAACUCUGAACAAAACAAGUAAAUCAUAACAAUAAAACACCCUUGCUUGUAUUAGGAACGAGAACCUAACACCGAAUCAAACAAGAUAAUGUUAGUAUCUCGAUUAAUCCAGGACUGUACUUAGUUGUAUCAAGGAGCGGAUGUAGCAUGAUCAACUACAUUCCCUCCAAGGUAUCACUACCACACGUCCUGAGGAGAUCGUGAUAGCUAGGGAACCUAAAAAUAUACCCCUUUAGCACCAAAAAGAGAACAUCUGUUUAGUCUAUGCAAUAGUGGUAGAGUCAUAGGAUAACGAUAGUUUAUUUGUAUACCUUCUCCCAGUCUUCAUUGAAGGAGAGCAGCAGGGCAUUCAGUUUCAUCAAGUCCUAGUGGCUCACGGGAUGCUUGAAGAUGAACCAGAAGGGAAUCAAGAGGGAGCACACGACGUCGGACCUGAUGAAUACACGGACACCGACUACGAAUUCGAGGAGACCGAUGAUGACUUGGAAGAAGAACAAGACCCGGGAAAAGAUCGCGCGGCAUCCCCUGUUAGCGAGGCACAACAAGACCACCCCGCCCCACCAGUGAACCCUGCAAGGGAGAAUCGCUCUCCCGAAGCUGAGAUUGCCGCCCUGCGGCAACAACUGUUCGCCAUGGAAGCACGUGCAAUGCAAGCUGAGCAUGAGAGGGAUGAGGUCAUUGGAGACAUGACUGAGAUGGCUCAGCUAUUGGCUCAGCACUUCGGCAAAUUAUCCCGCCACUAUAUUAGGACAUACCAUGGAGUGUUAGGGAUAGACUUAUCUUACUAGGUCAUUAGGAUCUAUGCUAUGUACCUCGACUCUAUGUUCAAGUGACUACACUACUCAUAGAGCCGUUAUGCUGUUAAACUAGUAUCACUCAUGUAUGCUCUCACGAGCAAAAUUUUCAUGUAUCAAAUGCCGAUAAUAUUAGUAAAACUUUUACAUGUUUUAUUAUGACAUUACAAAUUGCUAUAUGUUGCGAAUCUAUGAUUGUAUGCUAAAUGGUAGAAGUACUUAAGUUCGUACCAUGCACCUAGUCAGUAGGAUCACAGCCUCACAAAAACCACAUACACUCAACAUCUUUCCGUUUCAUGACAGAAAGAUGCCUCACCGACCUACCCGCAGAAACCCUGGACCAACCCCACCCGAAGUUGACUCAGCCGCAUUCCAGGCAGCUGUAUCCGCUGCAGUCACCGCAUCAAUGGCACAAAUUCAUCAAGGGAACAAUGGAGGAGUCAACGGGCAAGGGGCCGGGAGUUCGAACAAUGGAAUGAAUCAAGGACCCACCAAAACAUGUACCUACAAGGAGCACAAACGCCAAACCACGAACCUUUAACGACAUUGGAGGGGUGAUCACUCUGAAGCGAUGGAUCGAGAAGGUGGAAUCAGUAUUUGAGAUAUGCGAUUGUCCUGAGGAGAUGAAGGUGAGGUUUGCAACAUGAACUUUUGUUGACCAAGCGCUCACUUGGUGGAACGGACACGUGGAAGCCAUGACACUCCCCGUAGCCAACUCCAUGCCAUGGGCAGAAAUGAAAGAAAUGCUGAUAGCUGAAUACUGCCCUCGUGGUGAGAUUCAGAAAAUGAAGCAAGAGCUAUGGAACCUCACUGUACGGAAUGCUGAUAUCAAUGCCUACAUAUCAAGAUUUAGUGAACUAUCUCUGUUAUGUCCGGGCAUGAUCACCUCGGAAGGAAAGAAGAUCGAGCGAUUCAUCUGGGGACUAACCUCUCCGAUCCAAGGAAACGUGAUAGCUGCAAAUCCUGAAACUUUCGACAGUGCUAAGAGAUUGGCGAAGAAGCUGUAUGACCACAACAACAAGAAGGGUGAGAAGCCAGCGGAGACUGAGGCCAAGAAGGAAAGUGAUGGAAAGACAGGGAAGAACAACAAAAGAAAGGGGCAUCAAGGCUCCGAGACUUCCAAGAAGCAGCAGACAGUGGUGGUUAAUGCUGCCACCGCGCAAGUUCCAGCUACACCACAUGCUCCAGCCUCAGCUGCUCCAAAUGCUUCCAGACCUUAUUAUGGUAAUCUUCCCAAGUGUAACAAAUGUGGUUUCCAUCACAAUGGAGAAUGCAAGGAUCUGCAGUGCACUAGUUGCAAUCGGAAGGGACACAUGGCAAGGUACUGUAGGACUUGCCCUCUUCAGAAUCAACAAUAGGGAAGCAACAACAACAACAACAAUAACCGCAACAACAACAACACCAACGCUGGCGGCAACAAUGCCGGGCCUAGCCACACCUGCUAUGGGUGUGGAAGGACUGGGCAUUUUUGUCGUGAUUACCCUAACAACAACAAUCCCGGAAAUGGAGGAACGAGAAGGGUGCUGGCUAUGGGUCAGGGGGAGGCAAUUCAGGAUCCCGCUGUUGUUACCAGUAUGUUUCCCCUAAACCACACUUAUGCAAGCAUCCUAUUUGAUACCGGAGCGGAGCGAAGCUUUGUGAGCANAGUUUUUUGAAAUAAGUUUAAAGACUAUCUAGAACAACGACCCCAGAAGCUCAAUGAAACCUUUACGGUGGAAAUGGCUAAUGGGAAAACCGAAUCCACAGGGGAAAUCUACAUCGGAUGUACCCUAACCCUGAACCAACAUGUCUUUCGAAUAGACUUAAUGCAUGUGUCCAUUAGGAGUUUCGAUGAGAUCAUUGGCAUGGACUGGAUAAGCCUCUACCAUGCUGAAAUUAUGUGUCACGAGAAGGCCGUUCGUCUUCGCCUUCCCAAUCACGAAACCCUAGUUAUUUACGGAGACAAACCGAGCACGAGCCUUCGUCUUAUCUCGUGCGUCCAAGCAUAGAAACAUCUACGAAAGAAAGAUUUGACAUUUCUGGCUCACAUAGUGGAUAAAACCAAGGAAGAGACUAACAUUCAAGACAUUCCAGUAGCACAUGAAUUCCCAGACGUAUUUCCUGAAGAUCUUCCUGGAGUACCCACAGAGAGACAAGUUGAAUUCCGAAUUGACCUCGUUCCAGGAGCAACCCCUCUCGCUAAAUCGCCCUACCGGCUAGCUUCUGCUGAAAUGCAGGAAUUGUCCAGUCAACUCAGCGAACUCCUGGGCAAGGGAUUCAUCCGACCUAGCUACUCGCCAUGGGGAGCUCCGGUCCUCUUUGUCAAAAAGAAGGAUGGAUCUGUUAGGAUGUGCAUCGAUUAUAAAGAGUUAAACAAACUCACCGUCAAAAAUCACUAUCCACUCCCAUGAAUCGAUGAUCUAUUUGACCAGCUCCAAGGGGCUAGUUACUUUUCUAAAAUAGAUCUACGGUCCGGGUACCAUCAGCUUAAGGUCUGAGAAGAAGAUAUUCCCAAAACAGCUUUCCAAACUCGUUACGGACAUUAUAAAUUUGUCGUAAUGCCCUUCGGUCUAACAAAUGCCCCUGCCGCAUUUAUGGAUCUGAUGAACCAAAUCUGUCGACCAUUCCUCGACAACUUUGUCAUCGUCUUCAUUGAUGAUAUUCUCGUCUAUUCAUGAAGCAAGGAAGAGCAUGGCCAACAUCUCCGACAAAUCUUAGAGACUCUGCGAGCGGAAAAGCUAUACGCAAAACUCUCCAAGUGUGAGUUCUGGCUCCGUAGCGUGAACUUCCUAGGUCAUGUUGUUAGUCAAGAAGGAAUUCAUGUGGAUCCUUCCAAGGUCAAAGCCGUCGAAGGAUGGGCAGUCCCGACAACACCCACAGAAAUUCGUCAAUUCUUAGGCCUAGCAGGCUACUAUAGGAGGUUCAUUCAAAACUUCUCUAAGAUCGCCAAGCCACUUACCUCACUUACACAAAAGGGCAUACCAUUCAAAUGGACGGACAAACAAGAAGUUGCAUUCCGAACCCUGAAGCANGACAAACAAGAAGUUGAAUUCCGAACCCUGAAGCAAGCCCUCUGUAGUGCCCCGGUACUAUCUCUACCGGAGGGAACGGAAGAUUUCGUGGUCUACUGUGACACGUCAAAUCAAGGCUUAGGUUGCGUGGAAGGGUGAUAGCUUACGCAUCCCGCCAGCUAAAGACACACGAAGUGAAUUACACAACCCAUGAUCUGGAAUUGGGAGCGGUGGUCUUUGCUCUAAAGAUUUGGAGGCAUUACCUUUAUGGUACGAAGUGCACCAUCUUCACGGACCACAAAAGCCUCCAGCAUAUCUUGAAUCAGAAAGAGCUGAAUAUGAGGCAACGACGACGGGUUGAAUUAUUAAACGAUUACGAGUGUGAAAUCAAGUACCACCCGGGCAAGGCCAACGUGAUAGCUGAUGCAUUGAGCCGGAAGGAGUACUCUAAUCGUCGUGCGAAAAAUCUCUCAAUAACCAUUCAAUCUCACCUAACCACUCAGAUUGGGGUAGCCCAGUCAGAGGCCAUGAAGACGGAAAACAAAGCAAGCGAAGCAUUACGCGGAAUGGAGAAGAAUCUAGAGAUAAAAGAGGAUGUAGUAUACUAUUUCAUGAAUCGUAUUUGGGUCCCUAAACUUGGAGGAUUUAGGGAGGUAGUCAUGAAUGAAUCUCACAAAACGCGAUACUCCAUCCAUCCCGGUUCGAACAAGAUGUACUUGGAUAUCAAACAACAAUAUUGGUGGCCUAACAUGAAGGCGGAAAUUGCCACCUAUGUCAGUAAAUGCCUUACUUGUGCCAAAGUAAAAGUGGAGUACCAGAAGCCCUCGGGGUUAUUACAGCAACCGGUAAUCCCCGAGUGGAAAUGGGAAGGGAUUUCUAUUGACUUUGUGACCAAACUACCUAAGACGUCAGAUGGACUAGACACCAUAUGGGUAAUAGUCGACCGACUGAUGAAAUCCGCUCAUUUCCUACCAAUAAAAGAAUCCUACAAGAUGGAUAAGCUGACAUGAUUAUACAUUCGAGAAAUCGUGAGACUCCACGGAGUACCAGUGUCUAUUAUCUCGGAUAGAGACAGUAGGUUCACUUCACGUUUUUAGCAAUCACUUUAGAAAGCACUCGGAACCCAUCUCGACAUGAGCACCGCUUAUCACCCACAAACGGACGAUCAAAGUGAACUAACCAUCCAGACGCUCGAAGACAUGCUUCGCGCAUGUGUGAUAGACUUUGGGAAGUCUUGGGAUACCCACUUACCCUUAGUUGAAUUCUCGUAUAACAACAAUUACCAUUCGAGCAUCAAGGUCGCUCCUUUCGAAGCACUAUACGGGCACAUGUGUGACAUGAUUUUUAGGCCCGAAGGGAACGCGCUUACAUGUUAUUGGGCCUUAUAUGACCUAGUUUCGUGUAAAAAGACUUUCAAUAGCUUUAUUGUGCUAUUGGGCCCCAAGGGUCCUUUGGUACUGCUAGUAAAGUCAAGAGGUCAAAUGCGUGUCGGGCCAAGGGCCUUUCGCAUUCACGAUAGCCUUGAACGACUCAUGGAAAUAACGGGGACUUCGUACCCUCUUUUCUCCUCGGUUGUGGGGCUAUGAGAAGUCAGGGUGGUUGGAUUAAGUGAGUAGUACGGACGACGCCUAAGGGAUCGUUUGUAUAGUUGUAAACUAGUCAUUUAUAUUAAUGCGUGAUUAUAAUGACUCACGACCCAUAAUUAAUCCAAUGUCACUUGGAAUUAUCAAAAACAACUUCGUAUCGGAAUAAUACUAACUCAGCCUCGUAAUUUAAUGUAUUGGGAAAACAUCGGGUUUUCCUGGGAAAUUUCAACGCUCUUAACUAUGCGAUAUAUACAAAGUUUAACAAUUACUCACAUUCAUAAUAAUCAACAAGCAUACUUACGGAUCUUCACACUUUUUCUUACUUACAAUAAUCUUUUCAUAAAAUAUAGGAUUUUCUGGCGGUUUUCAAAAUAAUACAAAUCAUUAUUUUUCAAACAUUACUUAUGAACUCACCAACAUUUCAUAUGUUGACGUUUUUCCAAAAUACUUGUAUUCUCAGGUAACAGGUAAAUCGAAGAAAAUGUAUCCAGAGAUAUCAUGAUGUUUUGUUUAAUUAAUAUCGAACGGAGCAUGUUUUGGAAUUGUAAUGUGUAAAAACAAUGUACUGAAUGUAAACACUGAAGGUUGUAAUAUUUCAAUGCAUGGUGAUGAAUGAUGAUAUGUUUCAUGUAUACUCAUUAUGAUGGUAUUCAAUUGAGUCACAAUAGCCCUCGGACGUUUCCACCGUCUGGUUCGGGGGUGUGACAUCGAAGCAAAGAUUCCAUCUGCGAGACGCUUGCUUAAGUCCAUAAAUGGACUUCUCAAGCUUACGCACUCUAUUCGGAUGCUUCGGAUCCACAAAACCCUCUGGCUGAGCCAUGUAAACAUCCUCAGCCAACUUCCCGUUAAGGAAAGCGGUCUUGACAUCCAUUUGGCAAAUCUCAUAAUCAUGAAAUGCGGCAAUCGCUAGCGUCACUCUAAUAGAUUUUAUCUUCGCAACUGGUGAGAAGGUCUCGUCAUAGUCAAGUCCGGGAGUUUGAGUAAAGCCCUUCGCAACCAAUCACGCUUUAUAUGUGUGUACGUUUCCAUCCACGUCGGUCUUCUUCUUGAAGAUCCAUUUGCACCCAACGGUCUUACGUCCGGGCACAUUAUCAACCAAAUUCCAAACUUGGUUAUCAUACAUGGAUUGGAUCUCACUAUCCAUUGCCUCUUUCCAUUUCGCAGACUCCGGGCCUGCCAUGGCUUCCUUAUAGCUAUUAGGUUCAUUAAGAUUUACUAGUGUACCAUCACUAAUAUACGUGUCCCCUUCGGUAGUAAUAUGAAAACCAUAAAACUGGGGAAGAACUCUAACUCUAUCGGAACGUCUAAGAGGUAAGGAUUCGUCAAUCGGUUCAACCGGAGUUUCCUCCUCGGGUUGAGUGCCAGCGGUAGAGGUUCCUUCAUCUAUCGACUCUUGAAUCUCUUCAAGUUCG